AGCGAGAGAGAGAGAGAGAGAGAGAGAGCGA
rnacentral:sRNA from 1 species